rnacentral:rRNA from 1 species
AAUAGAUACCCAGGUAGUCCAUGCCGUAAACGUUGGGCGCUAGAUGUGGGGACCAUUCCACGGUUUCCGUGUCGCAGCUAACGCAUUAAGCGCCCCGCCUGGGGAGUACGGCCGCAAGGCUAAAACUCAAAGGAAUUGACGGGGGCCCGCACAAGCGGCGGAGCAUGCGGAUUAAUUCGAUGCAACGCGAAGAACCUUACCAAGGCUUGACAUAUACGAGAACGCUCUAGAAAUAGAGAACUCUUUGGACACUCGUAUACAGGUGGUGCAUGGUUGUCGUCAGCUCGUGUCGUGAGAUGUUGGGUUAAGUCCCGCAACGAGCGCAACCCUCGUUCUAUGUUGCCAGCGGUUCGGCCGGGAACUCAUAGGAGACUGCCGGGGUCAACUCGGAGGAAGGUGGGGAUGACGUCAAAUCAUCAUGCCCCUUAUGUCUUGGGCUUCACGCAUGCUACAAUGGCCGGUACAAAGGGCUGCAAUACCGUAAGGUGGAGCGAAUCCCGAAAAAGCCGGUCUCAGUUCGGAUUGAGGU